rnacentral:rRNA from 1 species
AGAGUUUGAUCCUGGCUCAGAUUGAACGCUGGCGGCAUGCCUUACACAUGCAAGUCGAACGGUAACGCGGGGCAACCUGGCGACGAGUGGCGAACGGGUGAGUAACGCAUCGGAACGUGCCCAGUAGUGGGGGAUAGCCCGGCGAAAGCCGGAUUAAUACCGCAUACGACCUACGGGUGAAAGCGGGGGACCGUAAGGCCUCGCGCUAUUGGAGCGGCCGAUGUCAGAUUAGGUAGUUGGUGGGGUAAAAGCCUACCAAGCCGACGAUCUGUAGCUGGUCUGAGAGGACGACCAGCCACACUGGGACUGAGACACGGCCCAGACUCCUACGGGAGGCAGCAGUGGGGAAUUUUGGACAAUGGGCGCAAGCCUGAUCCAGCCAUGCCGCGUGCGGGAUGAAGGCCUUCGGGUUGUAAACCGCUUUUGUCAGGGAAGAAACGCUCCGGGCCAAUACCCUGGGGUAAUGACGGUACCUGAAGAAUAAGCACCGGCUAACUACGUGCCAGCAGCCGCGGUAAUACGUAGGGUGCAAGCGUUAAUCGGAAUUACUGGGCGUAAAGCGUGCGC